rnacentral:lncRNA from 1 species
UUCAAAAAUUAAAAAUUAAAAUUCUUCAAAUAUUAUUUUUUUGCACAACAGCAUAGUAUAUUACACAAAAGCAAAGUUUGGAAUAUAAAUUCUAUUCCUAUAAGUAAUUCUUAGUUCUUUGGCUUCAGUUUUUCUUUGUUUGCAACUUAUUACAUGUAUGUGUCAAAUAUUUAAUUUCAAUCCAAAUUUAGACCUGUAUCAAGUGCAAAUAUUGUGUCCCAUUCCCCCCCCCCCCCAACUGUUCCCCUCUGUGGUUGUAUCAAGCUGCACUCAGGGAAGCAAUUUAUUAAUUAUUAAGAUUUUCAUUGUCAAAAUAAUAGGUUGAAGAUUCAUUGAAAUCUUUGAGUGACAGAAGAAAGUGGAAAUAUUGUUGGUACAAAAAAAUGAACAGUGAUUUUGAA